rnacentral:snoRNA from 1 species
CCCUGUAUCGAAAGUGACCAUGGCGUCCUUGUAGCCAGGUCAUUGAUAGUACAGGAACAUGAACCUGCGAGCCUUUCCCGUGUUUGAAGGAUCCUCAGUUCCUGUCAGACCCUGAUGCUCUCAAACA